rnacentral:rRNA from 1 species
AACGAACGCUGGCGGCGCGUCUUAAACAUGCAAGUCGUACGAGAAUCCCGGUGCUUGCAUUGGGAGGAAAGUGGCGAACGGGUGAGUAACACGUGGAUAAUCUGCCUUCAGGAUUGGGACAACCACUGGAAACGGUGGCUAAUACCGAAUAAGAUGGUAGUUGCAUAUGCAGCAGUCAUUAAAGGUGGGGACCUUCGGGCCUACUACCUGAAGAUGAGUCCGCGUCCCAUUAGCUAGUUGGUGGGGUAAUGGCCUACCAAGGCAACGAUGGGUAGCCGGCCUGAGAGGGUGAACGGCCACAUUGGGACUGAGAUACGGCCCAGACUCCUACGGGAGGCAG